GAUGAACGCUGGCGGCGUGCCUAAUACAUGCAAGUCGAGCGAACAGACGAGGAGCUUGCUCCUCUGACGUUAGCGGCGGACGGGUGAGUAACACGUGGAUAACCUACCUAUAAGACUGGGAUAACUUCGGGAAACCGGAGCUAAUACCGGAUAAUAUAUUGAACCGCAUGGUUCAAUAGUGAAAGACGGUUUUGCUGUCACUUAUAGAUGGAUCCGCGCCGCAUUAGCUAGUUGGUAAGGUAACGGCUUACCAAGGCAACGAUGCGUAGCCGACCUGAGAGGGUGAUCGGCCACACGGGAACUGAGACACGGUCCAGACUCCUACGGGAGGCAGCAGUAGGGAAUCUGCCGCAAUGGGCGAAAGCCUGACGGAGCAACGCCGCGUGAGUGAUGAAGGUCUUCGGAUCGUAAAACUCUGUUAUUAGGGAAGAACAAAUGUGUAAGUAACUAUGCACGGCUUGACGGUACCUAAUCAGAAAGCCACGGCUAACUACGUG
rnacentral:rRNA from 1 species